rnacentral:lncRNA from 1 species
UUGUUCUUAAAGUGUGUUUAUAUUGCUUAUCUAGAAGCAUCUAGCCAAACACUUGUAAUUCUUGAAAUUGUUUGUGAUUCCUCAAGUGACUUGCUUAGGUCUGUAGACUUGAAAGGGCUAAGAGAUUGUCAAACUCUUAGACAAAUUUUGUAAUCUGUUGAGAUUAGUGGAUUAAGUCCGUAUUGAAGGCGAAAUCACCCUGGCCAAAUGGACUAGAGUAGCUUUGAAUUUUAA